CCUGAUCUAGCCAUGCCGCGUGUGUGAUGAAGGCCCUAGGGUCGUAAAGCACUGUCGCSAGAGAUGAUAAUGACAGUAUCUGGUAAAGAAAUCCCCGGGCUAACUCCGUGCCAGCAGCCGCGGUAAUACGGAGGGGGUUAGCGUUGUUCGGAAUNACUGGGCGUAAAGCGCACGUAGGCGGAUNAGWAAGUWWGAGGUGAAAUCCCAGGGCUCAACCCUGGAACUGCCUNWWAUACUGCURGUCUUGAGUUCGAGAGAGGUAAGUGGAAUUCCGAGUGUAGAGGUGAAAUUCGUANAUAUUCGGAGGAACACCAGUGGCGAAGGCGGCUCACUGGCUCGAUACUGACGCUGAGGUGCGAAAGUGUGGGGAGCAAACAGGAUUAGAUACCCUGGUAGUCCACACCGUAAACGAUGAAUGCCAGACGUCAGCCAGUAUACUGUUCGGUGUCACACCUAACGGAUNAAGCAUUCCGCCUGGGGAGUACGGUC
rnacentral:rRNA from 1 species